AUUCAACGGCCGCGGUAUCAUAACCGUGCAAAGGUAGCGUAAUCACUUGUCUUCUAAGUAAAGACUUGUAUGAACGGCUAACUGAGGGCCCAACUGUCUCCUGUGGCCAAUCAAUGAAAUUGAUCUUUCAGUACAAAAGCUGAAAUAACACCGCAAGACGAAAAGACCCUGUGGAGCUUCAAGCCCACCACUACCCAAACAAUUACAAGUCUAACCCUAGACAUAACCCACCCAACACUUAUAGUCUUAAGGCUUUAAGUUGGGGCGACUACGGAGAAAAACAAAACCUCCAUGAACCUAGGCUGGCCCCCUACCACAAGGCCCACAAGCCAACUGGCCACACACAUUUGACCCAGUAACACUGAGAAUCGGACCAAGUUACCCCAGGGAUAACAGCGCCAUCCUCCUUAAGAGUCCAUAUCGCCAGGAGGGCUUACGACCUCGAUGUUGGAUCAGGACACCCCGGUGGUGAAGCCGCUACCAAAGGUUCGUUUGUUCAACGAUCAACGUCCUA
rnacentral:rRNA from 1 species